GUAACUUCCAAUAUAUCUCAAUACGUUUCGAAAGAAAUGUCGCAAUAUCGUGUUUGAGGUUACAGUCGAUUUGCAAGUAUGAAUCACAGUGAAAAAGUGGAAAUAAGCAAAGCUGCAGAACUUCUGAAGGUAUUACAAGG